GUGGGGAAUAUUGGACAAUGGGCGAAAGCCUGAUCCAGCCAUGCCGCGUGUGUGAAGAAGGUCCUCGGAUUGUAAAGCACUUUAAGUUGGGAGGAAGGGCAGUAAGUUAAUACCUUGCUGUUUUGACGUUACCGACAGAAUAAGCACCGGCUAACUUCGUGCCAGCAGCCGCGGUAAUACGAAGGGUGCAAGCGUUAAUCGGAAUUACUGGGCGUAAAGCGCGCGUAGGUGGUUUUGUAAGUUGGAGGUGACAUCCCCGGGCUCAACCUGGGAACUGCCUCCAAAACUGCAUGACUAGAGUACGGUAGAGGGUAGUGGAAUUUCCUGUGUAGCGGUGAAAUGCGUAGAUAUAGGAAGGAACACCAGUGGCGAAGGCGACUACCUGGACUGAUACUGACACUGAGGUGCGAAAGCGUGGGGAGCAAACAGGAUUAGAAACCCGGGUAGUCC
rnacentral:rRNA from 1 species